CUCGCAGCUCCAAAGGCUGCACACCUGAUGUCAAGGUGUUGGCUGGGUCACACGCUCUCUGCUUUUAGGGGAGGUCCGCCCUGUGUCUCCCUAGACUCUGGUGCCUGCAGCUUUCCUCUACCACCCUGCCCUGAACUCAAGGGUGACUUCAGGAUCGCUGGAAGCUUGUCUUAUGUCUGACCUCAAGUUAUGCGCCCUAUAGGUACUUCUUCACCCAUGUUCCUUCUGUCACUCCUAAUUCCGUGUGGGCCACUCUACCUGCAGCUGUGUCUGGUCCCUGCCCCAAGCACCUGGACUAGUCCACCUCCCAUGCAUUCUGCACUCCCUCCACUGAGUCAUGGAGGGGUGGAUGCUGGUCAGAUCACACUGCCUUUUAUGCCUCACUUCCUAGGCUUAUGAAUUGGUGCACAGAUUUCAGGACCUCUGGAUGGCUUGUUCCCUCACAAGAGGAACAAUCUGCACCCUCUUCAGGAAAAACUUGGUUCUUCUCACAGGGCUUGGUCUUGACCAAGAAACCGAGGACCCAAGACCCACUGCCCACCAGACCACUCCCAGAUUCUGACAGGACUCACCGUGAGCUGGGGUGGGUGAUUGGGGCUAUGGUUUCUGCAACUCAGCCCAAGGAGAGCUGGGUACUCCGCCCUCCCAACUCUGUCUCUCUCUCUCACAUACCUAAAGAGGAAAAAUUACUCCCAGAGGCAAUUGAGCCUAGAAGUAUAUUUAGGAUAAAAUUGCCUUUUGAAAACAGAAUUAUCAGACCUGAAACCGUUUCUUCUUUUCCCCUCUGAUUUCCAGAAUGUUCCUCUGGGCUGAUGUAGAAAGAAAUGAGGCCAUUACUAGGCUGUUUACCCAAUGAUGGCAACAAAUAGAACUUACAGAAGCCAUGAUAUUCUGUGUUCUACUUUGUCCAGAUUAUUCUCCUUGGCUGCUUGGUCUUGGGCCAGUCUCUAAGAAGAAAAGCCAGAAAAGUUUUAUGGUCACCCUAGCAGCCAACCAUCUAGGGACUGAGGGCGAAGGUAGUUGUCUUCAAGUUGUGUAAACAUUCGUCCAGGGCUGAGGUAUUCGCUGACCACAGCUUGAGCUGGCUGCUGUCCUGAGGUAAGAAGGUCCAUUUGUAGUGGCUGAAAGCUGCCUCCAGUGCAUGGACAAUUGAUGGCAGGUCAGCGGCAUUAUUUUUAUGAAUGUAGCAAUAAUAUAAUGUAAUUGGAGUACAUCAAAACAAAUGGCCAUCUGUGGUGGGCUCCAUUCACUGCAUUCUGGAAAUUAAUGAUGUCUCAUUGAAGGAGCAUUCCACGCAGCUCUCUGGCAUGUGCCCGGUGGUGUUCCGUAAUUUCAUAGUCCACAAACCAUAAUGACACAAUUUUCUCAGAGGUGCACUCGUCUGUCUGUGUCUCAUAUUGAUCUCUUUCCACUGUGAACUAAUUUGGGGGUUAUAUAAUUGUUUACAUGAGCCAGAAAAUGACCAAGAGGGGAGAAAUAAUACAAAGUAAAGGAUUCAAGCAGUCUUCUAAAUACAUUGAUAAUGAAAUUUAUUCUUUGAAAAUCUAGGUUCUCAAUCUAAUAUAAAUACAUAGACCAGAGUAAGGAAGUCUAAUAGAGUAAAGGAAGGAGGUCAGGAAAGGAGAAGGAGGGAAAAGGAGGGGAUCAUGAGCUGAAAUGGAAUUCCAAGCAUGUAUGAGUUUGUAGGAUGAACCCAACUACUGUGUAUAACUGUAAGGUUCUAGAAAAAUGUAAAACAGCUUUAGAAUAAGAAAGAAAACCUGGGUUCAGAUCUGGUUUUCCAAGUAGUCACUAUCUGCACCUUUAAUCCAUCAAUGCAUCCAUUCGUGGGCACAUAACAAACCACGAAAGCAUCUGUCCUCUAGGAGACCCUGCUGGGCCUGAGAGAGACUCCACGGAGAGUCUGUAAAAGUCUUCCAUCAGGGGCGUUCUAGCUGAGCCAGAGAUGAGUGACCCAACCUCCCAUAUCCUGCAGCUCGGUCAGUGCAUGUGGAUGGACACAUGCCUUUAUUUAAUGUCUUUAUUUUUAUGUGAUCCUGAGGAUGGAACCCAGCGCCACACACAUGCUAGGUGAGCUGGACACACGGGGCCAGGGAGUGCAUCGGCAGGCGCCUUCCAGCGGCUGAGGCUGGGGAGAGGGCCCGGCAGAGACGCCAGGAGCUUUGCAAGACAGGACUCUUCCAUGUCUUAAUUACCACCAUGGCUUCAUUACUGGGGAUUUGUCCAAAUUCUUACAACUGUGCCCCCCAAAAAAGGCCAAUUAUGUGUUACACAGUCGGUGAUGGCGGAGCCACAGUGGGAACGCUGGCAGGACCUCAAGGCUUCUCUUAUCUUCCCUUUUACUGCAGCCAACUCUGCAUUUACAAGGUAUAAUCAUAGAGAAGCAUCAGUAUCCAUAAUGGCAAGUGAAAAUCUGUUUUGCAAGGUUUCUGCGAGAAGUAUUUGAGAACUACUAUGUAAAAUAACAAACCACCGCCAGGCUGACCUCUCACCAUCAAGGCAGGAGGAGAAGGGCCACCCAGGGAGGCUCAAGGUGAAGAGUGAAACAAGACCCCUCCCCAGCUGCACCACUCCUCCUCUCACCAGGGAGACCCACGGUCCUUGGGAGGACCGUGUGAGGUGUCGCCACUUCCUUCUUGUUGGGAAGCAUGGGAAGUAGCCUGGCACUUACUCCAGGUGGGUUUGAAGAACACCAAGAAGUCUCCGUUCGGCAAGAGCCCAGCGCGAGGCAUCCACCUGGGUCUGCCAGGCUCCCUGAAGCUGGAUUUGCAAAAUGAGCACUUAACUGGACAGCAGUGCCAACUUCCGGGGCACUUGACGAUACCCACUCAGCGUCAGUCAGUCCUUAGCGAACCGUCCCUGUGAAGCAGACAGAAGAUGCAGCUCACUUGAGAGCUCAGUAAAAGUUCUGCUCUUUUUUGUUUGUUUGUUGUUUGUUUUUAAACAGACGAAAGGAAAUAUCAAGGUGAAUUCCUGUAUCCUGCCAUAAUGCCUAGUGGGUCAAAAUACCAAAUUGAAUGCUUUUUUUUUUUCCUUGCUAAUGCAACUAGAUAAAUAAGUACGUUUCAGUCACAGUGUUUUAUUAACUUUUUGGAGUCUUAAUUUUCCAACUCUGGCACCAGAAUUUUGUCAUUAACAUACCAUUAAA